CCCUUAGAUGUCCGGGGCCGCACGCGCGCUACACUGAAGGAAUCAGCGUGGCUUUCUCCCUGACCCGAAAGGGUUGGGAAACCCGUUGAAUCUCCUUCGUGAUAGGGAUUGGGGCUUGAAAUUGUUCCCCAUGAACGAGGAAUUCCCAGUAAGCGCGAGUCAUAAGCUCGCGUUGAUUACGUCCCUGCCCUUUGUACACACCACCCGUCGCUACUACCGAUUGAACGGUUUAGUGAGGGCCUCGGAUUGGUCUCGGCCCGCUCUUUACCGGGCGGCGCCGUUGGUCGAGAAGACGCUCGAACUUGAUCGUUUAGAGGAAGUAAAAGUCGUAACA
rnacentral:rRNA from 1 species